UCAGUGGGUGUACUGUAACUAAUCAAUGUGUGUAAUAACUAAUGCAGUUUAAUAACUGCUUUUGUUCAUUUCAGGUGCAGAAACUUGAGGCUGUUGGAUACAAGCCAAUUUUAUUUAUUGGGAAACAGGACAAAAGGGCUUCAAAUAAGUGGGUGGCAGAUAUUAUCACGCAUCUGCACCCCACUCCUGUCACCAAAGUGUUUUUGGAGAAGAUGUGGAGGGCUUAUGAGUUUAUCUUAACAAAAGCAGCCGGAGAGCGUCGCCGCGGAGCAGCUGGAGAGCCUCACCAAGCAGUCUGAAACUGUAUUUGUUCUCAAUCUUGUUCCUGUGUCUUGCUCGCUCACUCCAACCUCUCUCUGUCCUCCUUCCUCUGCUACUUCUACAACUGUUCUUCCCUCACUUUCUUCCCCUCUUCCACCUCCACUGUGGCAGAGGAAAAGAAGGUUAAACACCUUUACCACGUCAAACUCUACCACCCCUGUCUCUCCUCCAUAUCCAUCUGCCUCUUCCAUUUCCAAGCCUUUGAGUCAGGAGGUGCCACUGGUAAAGAACAG